GACGAACGCUGGCGGCGUGCUUAACACAUGCAAGUCGAACGGUAAGGCCCUUCGGGGUACACGAGUGGCGAACGGGUGGGUAACACGUGGGUGAUCUGCCCUGCACUUCGGGAUAAGCCUGGGAAACUGGGUCUAAUACCGGAUAGGACCACUGCCUGCAUGGGUGGUGGUGGAAAGCGUUUGCGGUGUGGGAUGGGCCCGCGGCCUAUCAGCUUGUUGGUGGGGUGAUGGCCUACCAAGGCGACGACGGGUAGCCGGCCUGAGAGGGUGACCGGCCACACUGGGACUGAGAUACGGCCCAGACUCCUACGGGAUGCAGCAGUGGGGAAUAUUGCACAAUGGGCGCAAGCCUGAUGCAGCGACGCCGCGUGAGGGAUGACGGCCUUCGGGUUGUAAACCUCUUUCAGCACCGACGAAGCGCAAGUGACGGUAGGUGCAGAAGAAGGACCGGCCAACUACGUGCCAGCCGCCGCUGUAAAAC
rnacentral:rRNA from 1 species